GGGUAUAAUAUCGUGUACUUCCACCAUAGGGCGGGGUGUCACUUUUUAUAGUUCAAUGUAAGGCCUACUUGGCGUUAGUUUACCUUCAGGUGUAAUUCCGGUUCUUGUACGCAAGGAGGCCUAUUUAUACUUCAAAGUUGCGAUACGAAGUUAUAGGUAAGAAACGACAGUAUCAGGAGCUCUUGUACUUGACGAUCAGCUUGGUGUGCCGGUAGAAGUAGAACUACUUUUAACCGUAUUACGUCCGCUGGGACACUGACGACUUAUACUGGCGGUAGAUCUUAUGCCGGACCAGCUUCGGGUAUGCUCGCCGCGGGUGGAGCGGGCGGACCGGCCUCAGGCCGUUCUGCUGGGUGAAGAGGCACCGCCCCAACGUGUGCUGCAUUGCCCUGAGCAGCGGUGCCCGUCUCUGCACCAUGGUCGCCGUCUCCUCCUCCGGCAACGUCGUCAGGACCUCCAGCUGCGCGGCCACCGACCCCUCCUUGCGGUUUCUCCACGCCUGGUCUCCCGCCGCCGACGGGGGCUGCGACCACUUGACCUGUCCACUGAGGUCCUUCGUGAGGGGCGGCCACGACGACAUCUUCUUCGGCCUGUCGCAGACCCCCUCGGAGGACGCCACCGACGCCACCUUCCACUCCGAGUCGGUCACGGACCUCUGCGUGAACUUCGCCCGCUCGCUAAACCGCCCGUGCGCGCGCUCCUAGAGGUGCUCCUCCAGCAGGCACUCGGAGCGCCGGCGGUACGGGUACAGGGGGAACCCGUACCUGUACCACGGCCUUCCCCUGCCGCCACCGCCACCGCGGCAGCUCAAGCUCGCUCCCUCUUCCCCUUGCCUUGGAAGGGAGGGAGGAAGGCGCAAAGCCUACCGGUGCUGAACUGGGCGAGUAUACAGGCAAACAAAGACGGGGGGCUUUUGGUCUAGGGGGGCUUUCUCGACGGGUGGAUGGGUCUCAGGGUCUGCCGGUCUCGCCUAGGCCUCCGCAGUGGCUGGGCGGGCUGCGGUUGCUGGACCGAAGGGGGUCAGGUCGGUGGCUGUCUAAACUUUCCGACUCCAAUGGGAAACAACCUUUUCCGAAACGGUAUCUCGACCCUGUACCUGUACCGUAACGGCUAACACUUACGGUGGUGCCGUCGCGAACGAGCACAGAGUCGACGUAAGUUGCGAGGAGAACGGGCACGACAGCAGAAGCCCCAAGUAUAGCUACCAGUGAACCAACACCUUCCUGAAGAAUAACGGCAGUAUCACAAAGUCGAAAGGUCCUUCUCGAUGUUUGGAGGUUUCUUCGGUGAAUCGCUUUUCCUCCAACUACUCGAUACACUACUUACCCUUGGUCUUGGAAAUACAGGGGGUUAGUUCCUCCUCAGGGUGUAACUGGGUGGUUAGAACCUUUCACGACGACCUGGUGUGUGCUGGUAACUCCCCUUUCUUCAACAUUUGAAACGUAGUCGCUUGAUGGAACCAAAUUAACCGUUGCUCUUUUAAUAACUAAGAACACAACCAAGUAACCUCUUUAUACCACAACCUAGGACACCAGGUGCACCGAAGAUACCUUGUUAACUACAGGUGGAACUGACACUUCGUUUUUAUCGGUUAAAGGACCCUUGUGGCCUGAGGUAAGACAUAAGUAUACCCUAUAGCUGGUAUAAGUCACAAUAUGGACGUAAAACAUUCUUUCCUCUAUAGUAUCACCGACUACUCCCACAAGUGACCCGUCACGUUUUACCAGAGAUAGAUAGCUCUUCAUGGCAACAAAUAAAGUUCGUAUUACUAUACCGAAGUGAGCGAUCGUGAAACCUUUUUGAAUGAGCACCUUUGUUUGCCUGGCUCUUCUAAUCUGCGAUGUAACAACACCUUAGAUAGAUGGUCUUAAGACCAGUUUAGCGGGGGAACCUACUCUAUCAGUUUAACUUCCUCUUCAUAGACAAGGCACAAUAAGACCUCCUCAGAGUAAGCAAACCACACGAGCCGUUCAGACCCGCCCCGGAACGGCUUGUAAUACCACAUGGCUAACUGUUUUAACUAUAGUAGUGACGACCUUACCCUUUACGUAAUCGAUGACUACCACCCAAGACAUGUCCUUCACGAUCUCAACAACUAGUAGUCGCAGAUUCGUCGCGACCGAUACAAAAGAGACGGAGAGACGGUGGGAUAGAACGGUCACGGCGUCAAAGACGACAUUUGAUGGACCUCCUCUUAGGAAGUCAAGAGCGAUUGGAUUCCUCGUUACAACGCGAAGACGUACGUCCUGACAGUCUACGUGGUCCUGAACUCUAAAGAUCGGUACGGGACAGUGGCUAGCAGAAGGAAUUCGACUUCUUUAGCUGACCAAGAGACCGGUGACUGGAUCUAGAAGAACUUUGGUAACGGCUCGUCCAAAACUUCCUUCUAAGGCAAAAGUAACACCGCAGCUUCUCCAGUUGAGACCUGUCUACGUUCGAGGGGCAGCCUUAGGCCGACAAGCAAAGUCGACCAGUGUGACUUAGACUGUAGAGGUUUCACACAAGUAGGAACUUCUCCUAAAGACGCAGCCAAGAAAGUCUAGUGCAAACUGGGACCAAAGGGAAGGUUUAUACUGUUCCCGAACCACCAAAAACUGCGGCACACAUGAGAUUUCCGACUAAUGCACAAACCAUUUACAUGUAUUGUCAAUACAUGUAAAGACCUAAAGUACUCAAGGUAUACAACAACAGCGGGUAUGGACGAUCACUUUUAAAACAUUUGCGACACCAAUCUCUACUACUCAACACGACAUGUAAACUGAUUAAAGGUACAACAUUUGAUCCGUAUAUACAGAAGUCAUAGGAGCCGUACGGACAACAUCGUACGUGAGAGACGUAGAAAGGACCCAUGGACUUAUGUGUAUGUCUGUUGGUAGUAAAAAG
rnacentral:rRNA from 1 species